rnacentral:rRNA from 1 species
GCCUUCUAAUUAGAGGCUUGUAUGAAUGGUUGGAUGAAAAAUUAACUUUCUUUAUUUUAUUUUAAAAAAUUUUAUUUUUCAGUUAAAAAGCUGAAAUUUAUUUAUUAGACGAGAAGACCCUAUAGAACUUUAUAUUUGAUUUAAUAUUAUAUUAUUAGUUAAUAUUUUUUAUUAUUAUUUAUUUAUUUUGUUGGGGUGACAGGUAAAUUUUUUUAACUUUAUUUAUUUCAUUUCAUUUAUGUUUGAUUUUUUUGAUCCAUAAUUUAUGAUUAUAAGUUCAAGUUACCUUAGGGAUAACAGCGUAAUUUUAUUGGAGAGCUCUAAUUUAUAAUAAAGUUUGCGACCUCGAUGUUGGAUU